AACUAGCAGAGUAGUGAAAAUGAUCGGAUCGUAAUUUUUCACGAUAGUUUUAUACAUAGAUCUAAAAUGAUUUAUUUUGAAGGAUUUCAAUGAUUUUUGAUAAAGUGGUCUUUCUGCGUUAUAUCUAUCUUUAUACAGGGUGGUUGGUAACUGGCAUGUUGAUUUGCUUGGUACGAGUUUUAUACUUUAGCUAUUGGUAGUUCCAGCGUUAAAAAUAUUACGUAUUUGUAAAAAA